GAAAGUUGAAAAGAACUUAGAGGUGAGAGUUCAACAGGGCGUAAAACCGCUUAGAAGUAAACGGAUGGUGCUGACAUUAUUUCUGUCGGAUUCAGCUGGUCUAAUGGUGGCUCGCUUGUGCGCCGAUCGCAAGACGGAGGUACGGGUGUUGUCUGCCAAAGGCCAGUGCAUUUCCGGCAGAAUGCAUCAUGACCGACAGUUGCGCUGGCAAACGGCCGGUGGAACGCCGACUGUGGUCUUCGGACUUGCAGUGCCCCGUCCACCGUGCCCUGAUUCUCCGGGUUGCAGCUGUCGGAAACCUGAACGCGCCCGCUAUGCUCAUCUCAGGUCGUCAUUUGGCUGAUUGCCUCUCCGUAACUUGCUUGCAAGUUGCGGUAAAUCUCAGUCUCUUUGGCGGCUUGUGUUAUGAGCGGCGUUUAAGGUCUAUGAUGUCCGCGUCAGUCUCCCAACCGACCCGUCUUGAAACACGGACCAAGGAGUCUAACAUGUGCGCAAGUCGUAGGGUGUUAAACCCGAAGGCGCAAUGAAAGUAAAGGCCGCAAGGCCGAGGUGUGAUGUUUGGCUUGACCAGACCGCAACACCGUCCCAUCGCAUCGGCUUGUCCGGGCGGUGGCGAAAGAGCGCACAUGUUGGGACCCGAAAGAUGGUGAACUAUGCCUGAGCAGGAUGAAGCCAGAGGAAACUCUGGUGGAGGUCCGUAGCGGUUCUGACGUGCAAAUCGAUCGUCAGACU
rnacentral:rRNA from 1 species